UACGAGAGGCCCAAACGUUAUUCGGAUUUACUGGGCUUAAAGAGUUCGUAGGCGGCGCAGAAAGUAGGGUGUGAAAGCCCUCGGCUUAACCGAGGAAUUGCGCUCUAAACUACUGUGCUUGAGGAACCUAGAGGUGAGCAGAACUGAUGGUGGAGCGGUGAAAUGCGUUGAUAUCAUCAGGAAUACCGGAGGCGAAGGCGGCUCACUGGGGGUUAUCUGACGCUGAGGAACGAAAGCCAGGGGAGCGAACGGG
rnacentral:rRNA from 1 species